UAGCUCUGAACCAAAUUGGAAAAAAAAUGAAGAUUGAAUCAAUCCUAUGCCUCACAAUUUCUAUGAACCCCACAUAGUCAUCGUUUAAACACCACAUGGAUAAAAAAUAUGAACUGAACUUGACAAAAUAAAUAAAAAAUCAGAACCGUUCUAUGGCUGGCCAUCGAUCGCCAUAUAGGGCAAGGUAAUUAGGCAUACACGUACAAGAAAGCAAACAAGAUUGAUUAAUACUUCAGUUUAACUUCAAGUGGUUGAGUUAGGACUUAGGAGGGUUUAGUAAGCAAUAAAAAAUACAUCAGCUUAACAUCAAGACCUUAUACGUACCCUGUGACAGAAAUCAAAAGAAUAUAAAUUGAUCUUUCAUUCAGUGGCACAAAGUAGAGAGCAGCAUGUGGAACCUCUGUACAGGAAGUAAAAUUACCUGAACGCCAAUCUUUAUCUAACAGUUCUCAAUUCUGUAAACUCCAUCAUACUGCACACCUGAUUCAGGAGCAUAUGAGCAACGCUUCUAUUUGUGGGACCUUUAUAAGAUAGUGUAGUCGAAUGUAAGUCCACAAACAAGAUAGUGCAGAAUAAUAGAUGGCCUCCAUAUAUGCUAAAAAUAUUGUAACAAUGAAAAGCAAAUCAUGGAAAACAAUAACAGGCAUCGUUAACACAGUUGAGCUAACAGCAUGAUGCCUUCAUAUCAUCCACUCAUCAAAUGCUGAUAUUUGAGGAAAUAUUUAUGGCAAGAAGAACAUACGACACAACCCUUACAGGAUAAAUACGUCCAGAGCAAUCUAGAUUUGAUGAGAUGAGAUGAGAUGUGCACGGGGGGUAUGAAGCUCACCACGCCAACGUGAGGGGGCAGGGUAGGAAGAAGCAGAGCCAUGAGGGAGGGAGGGAGGGCUCGUGCGUUCGGUCGUCCAGCUGCUGCCGCAGCUGCAGGUCAUGCGUCCAGAUCCGGGGCAGUCAUCCCGCACACAAAAUAAAAGAAACCAAGGAAGGAAUCACGAGCAGGGGGAGAUGAUGAAUCCGAGGAAGAACGUCCGCAGGUACACACUCACCAUAGCCGUCACCGGAGAUCCGCGGUCGCCGGCGCGCGUCCUUGAAGGUUGAGGCGUCGUCCUUGAGGGUAGGGUUUGGGGCGUCUCCGUCCGUCCAUGGCUUCUGCCGGGCCGGGUCGGACCUCCAUGGCCGACCUCCCUCGAGGACGGACGCGGAUCAGGUCGAUGACGGCGCGCUGAUGCCGCCGUGGAUCUGGGCGCUCCCUCUUCCUUCCCUUCCCUUCCCUUGCCUUCCCUUCCCUUCCCUUCACUUCCCUUGGGAUUCCCUUGGGAGAGGAAUAGAAGGUUGGGGGCGGCGGCGCAGGGGGGCGAGGAGAUUGCCGACGGCGGUGUUGGAUUGGGGUGCGGCGGCGGCUGCGACUGGAGACGGGAGAUGGGGCGGCGGCGAUGGAGCGGGAGAUGGGGCGGCGGCGGUGGAGCGGGAGACGAGGGAAGAGAGAGGUCGCAGCGGGAGGGGUGGAUCGAGAGGAGGGGAAGCUGUAUUUUUUACGUGGGAGGUGAGACAGAAAUAAGUCAGACGAAAAAAAACCAGCGAAAAAAAACCGGACGAAAAUGGUGGGACGAAAAUGAUGGGACGAAAAUAAAACCCGGAACGCGACCUACCACUUUCUUUGUUACAUUCAGCUAUAACAAUCAGGUAUCUUUAUAGCUAUAACAUUCAGAUAUGUAUCAGUAAAUCGUGUCUUCCAUAGCUAUGUAUAUGUAUACCUAUGUAUCUGACAACAUGAGUGUACGUAUAAUUCAGGACAGGUGAAGCAUAAAGUUAGAAAAUAACAAACAGAAAAAUACAUGUUUUCCUCCUCGAUUUGUACAUACCUGUGUUCCUCCUCGAUGCAGGGCAAGGCCGAGACAACUUUGCGCUGCUCCUUGCUGCCUGCAAUGUGACCACGCCCUGCCCUAGAUACCUAUGUUCCAACUAUUACGAAACGAAUAUGUUAGACAUCAGCUUGCUUGUUUCUUUCAUUCUUCGGUGGAGAGAAACCAAAGAAUCGGUCUGCGCAAAUGUCAGCCAAGGAGCAGACCUUAAUCCCAGAGUGUGGCGCACGUGAGAGGGGAGGAGGUUCCUGGGGAUGAGCAGCCAGCCAUGGAGGCAAUAACAGGAAGGGUGGUUGUCGCUCGUGCAUCGCCUAGACAGAGCUUGGGGAGGCUCUCUUCCUCUCGUCUGCAUCUCUUUCCUGAUGAAAUCAUGAAAGCAUAUGAUAAAUCAAUUUUAAGAAAAUAAAACAUUUCUAGACUUGAAUCCAGCGGUAAACCUACAUAUGCCAGCAGCAGGAAACCACAUGAACCGAUGCCUUGAGUGCAUACCACACACCCGUGAGUGGGGAAUCAAACCAGAAAAAAAAUCAUGAGAGGUGACACAAGUGCAACGUACCAACGAUGGCCGCCGCCGGAGUGGAUCGGAGAAGGGAUGAGCCUACCGGCUGGGUGCUCCGCCCAUCGCGCUGUUUGUCGACCACGGCGGAGAUCGGGAUCCUUCUUUCUCGGCGGAGAGGCGGCGGCUUGGCUAUCAUCAACAACAUUAUAGUGGAACCUAAAUCUUAUAAAGUAGUAAUUCAUGGAUACUUUUGUUUUGUCACACAGACCUCUGCUUUAUAGGCAUCAAAAAACUAUAGAUACUAAUCCACAAAAUGCCUCGAGUUCCAUCCUAAUAUAUCUUCUUCAUUGGUUGCACAUCAUCUUCCUCAACUAUGAGGCGACCUUGCUUUUUACCAACCUAGCUAGAUAAUCUGGAAUUAAUCAAUGAAAGCAUCAGUCAAUUGAAGCUUGAUAAUCACAUAAUGCAUGACUACUUUGAAGCAAAGGUUAAGUAACUACAGAUUAGAACAUAUCAAGCUUGACCUAUACUUUUUAACUAAUAAUCACUUUACCGGCCUCCAUGACAUAUACUGACAUGGUAUAAUGACAUAAUAACAUACUUUUUUUCUUUCUAAAUUGCAUAAUUGAAAAGAAGCAUAAACUACAAGCAAAAAAAAAAAAGAACCAAGCAUUACAUAUUAGGCAGAGCAUGUGACAUUCAUUGGCAAGCAUGCUAGUACCUUUGGACCGCCUAUAGGUAUACUCCUGUGGGUGCUGGCUGGUGGCCGACAUUAUCAUGAGAUCAUAACAUUCUUCUCUUUUGUUUCUCAUUUUCGUUUUCGUUUUCAUUUUAUUUCUCUUCCCUGCACAAUUAGCAUGCUCUCACACUUCCUCUAUCAAUGACAAGGCAGCUCUCCUGUGCACCAUCUAUGCUCCUGCCCUAUGUUUAUUUUUUUGUUAAAGAGAAACUUAUUGUGUUAGCGAGAGAGAUAGAACUGCCUUAUGGACCUUCAAUUAAUCAUGCAAAAGCAAGAUAAUAGGUCAAAAGAAGCACAUGUCCCAGCAGUUGUCACUCAAUUUGUAUAUAAUUAAUCUGUGAGAAAUUAUGCUGCUUAAUUUUGGAUUUGCAAAGUGUAAGCUUUUCACAUCUGUAGGUGUAGCGGGUAAUAGCUCUGAACCAAAUUGGAAAAAAAAUGAAGAUUGAAUCAAUCCUAUGCCUCACAAUUUCUAUGAACCCCACAUAGUCAUCGUUUAAACACCACAUGGAUAAAAAAAUAUGAACUGAACUUGACAAAAUAAAUAAAAAAUCAGAACCGUUCUAUGGCUGGCCAUCGAUCGCCAUAUAGGGCAAGGUAAUUAGGCAUACACGUACAAGAAAGCAAACAAGAUUGAUUAAUACUUCAGUUUAACUUCAAGUGGUUGAGUUAGGACUUAGGAGG
rnacentral:lncRNA from 1 species